rnacentral:rRNA from 1 species
GACGAACGCUGGCGGCGUGCCUAAUACAUGCAAGUAGAACGCUGAAGGAGGAGCUUGCUUCUCUGGAUGAGUUGCGAACGGGUGAGUAACGCGUAGGUAACCUGCCUGGUAGCGGGGGAUAACUAUUGGAAACGAUAGCUAAUACCGCAUAAGAGUAGAUGUUGCAUGACAUUUGCUUAAAAGGUGCAAUUGCAUCACUACCAGAUGGACCUGCGUUGUAUUAGCUAGUUGGUGGGGUAACGGCUCACCAAGGCGACGAUACAUAGCCGACCUGAGAGGGUGGUCGGCCACACUGGGACUGAGACACGGCCCAGACUCCUACGGGAGGCAGCAGUAGGGAAUCUUCGGCAAUGGACGGAAGUCUGACCGAGCAACGCCGCGUGAGUGAAGAAGGUUUUCGGAUCGUAAAGCUCUGUUGUAAGAGAAGAACGAGUGUGAGAGUGGAAAGUUCACACUGUGACGUUAUCUUACCAGAAAGGGACGGCUAACUACGUG